GAUGAAGAACGUAGCGAAAUGCGAUAAGUAAUGUGAAUUGCAGAAUUCAGUGAAUCAUCGAAUCUUUGAACGCACAUUGCGCCCGCUAGUAUUCUGGCGGGCAUGCCUGUUCGAGCGUCAUUUCAACCAUCAAGCCCUGUUUAGGCUUGUGUUGGGGCCCUGCGGCUGCCGCAGCCCCCUAAAUGCAGUGGCGGGCUCGUUGUCACUCCGAGCGCAGUAGCGUCUCUCGCUCUGGGCGUGGCGGCGGGUGCUAGCCGUGAAACACCCACUAAGGUUGACCUCGGAUCAGGUAGGAAUACCCGCUGAACUUAAGCAUAUCAAUAAGCGGAGGA
rnacentral:misc_RNA from 1 species